rnacentral:misc_RNA from 1 species
GAACAAGUGAAGACUGCCUCUUCUCCACAUGGAAACCUCUAACAGGAGUCCUCUUGACUACACACUCGGCCUGUGAUUCUGUAAAAUUGCUGAGAGAUAAUGGGGCGAAUCCAGAUGACAAAAACAGUGACCUCCAAUGCUGCGUCUUUUCAGGGGAUCGAAAACGACCCAUUACAAUUCUUUCAAUUCCUGGUUGGAGCAAGAACCUUUCAAUCUUUUGGAGGGCAUCGAAAUUCACAUUUACAGCAUCUAGUGACUCAAGAAGAUUUGAGUAGGACUGAAGGGCUUGAAUUACAUGGUUUGGAAAUGGUAGAUCAGUCCGGUCACAACCUCUAUCCACAGAAACCACAAUCCUAGGUGACAACUGCUUCACAAAACGAAGAACCAAUGGAAGGGACAACUGAUAGCUCGAAAGCGAGCUAACUGGAAGAUUGACAGCAAUUGCCUCAUUCUCUGAGACUAAAGGAGGCAGUG